GCUGGGUGUGGUGGUGCACGCCUGUAGUCCCAGCUACUCAGGAGGCUGAGGCAGGAGAAUUGCUUGAACCCAGGAGGUGGAGGUUGCAGUGAGCCAAAAUUGCACCACUGCACUCCAGCCUGGGUGACAGAGCAAGACUCUCUCUCAG
rnacentral:SRP_RNA from 1 species